UCAAACAUGUGACAACAUUAAGCACCCUGGUAGAGGCAAGAUUUGCCAGGCGGCUCUCACAUACCCCUGCCUCCCACAAUACUACCCCCGCCUCCCAUGAUAUGAUGAGAUGACAAGGCACUUUACCUCUGCAUUAUACUCCACAAAACCCGUAAUCCCAGACAAUCAUGAGAAAACAUCAGACAAACCCAGAUCAGCAGACAUUCUACAAAACACCGAGUCCUUCCCAACACUGUCCACGGAAUGAAAAACAAGGAAAAUCUAAGAAAUGGUCACAGACGAGAGAAGACUACAAGAGGCAUGAUGACUGAAUGCAAGGGUCUCACUCUGCUGUCCAAGCUGGAGUGUGGUGGUGCCAUCAUGACUCACUGCAGCCUUGGCCUCCCAGGCUCAAGCGAUCCUCCUGCCUCGGCCUCCAGAGUCUCUGGGACUACAGGAGUCUCACUCUUUCGCUGAGGCUGGCUUGCAAUGGCACGACCUCAGCUCACUACAACCUCUGCCUUCUGAGUUCAAGCGAUUCUCCUGCCUCAGCCUCCCAAGUAGCUGGGAUUACAGGAGAAAAGACUGCAGAACCACACAAGGCUCACGCUGCCCAGGGAGAACGUCAUCUCAGUUCCCAUAUGAGUCCCGAUGAAAAUAUGACAGAGAAAUUCUGUCCUGGACCACGAGCAUCUUUUCAUCUUCGUAUCCUAGCAGCCAGCAGGCACUUGGUGAAGAGGCUGCUCAACGAAUAUACAGUGACGGUUUUACGGGACAAGAGUUACCUGAGGAACAACUAAAUCUGCCCCAUCAAGCAAUUCUUGACAGAGUGUUGUCACCACACAGAAUCCUCAGUUUGAAACUAACACAAACUGAAAUGUGCAAAACUGAAUCUGUUUCUUUGGGGAGCACAAACCAGUAGAGCUUCUAUGUGAUAAAGGAAGAUGCUGCAGUUUGACCGAGUUUGCCAAGGAGAAGAUGUCCCUGGGACACUGAGCUACUUUUUUACACAUACAGGUCAAGGGUCCACGUGUGGUCCUUACUGGGCGCCCCCUAUUCUGCCCCGUGUGGGAAGCAUGUGACUUGAUGCUGUACAUGUAAAACAUGGUUUCUGCUCUUAAGAAGUUUACAGGCCAGCAGGGAAUGGUAAAAUGCGUGAGGAAGAACCCCUAGGCUGGGCGCGGUGGCUCACACCUGUAAUCCCAGUACUUUGGGAGGCCGAGGCCAGUGCAUCACCUGAGGUCAGGAGUUCAAGACCAGCCUGGCCAACAUGCUGAAACCCUGUCUCUACUAAAAAUACAAGAAUUAGCCGGGCGUGGUGGCACGUGCCUAUUACCCCAGCUACUCAGGAGGCUGAGGCUGGAGAAUUGCUUGAACCCAGGAGAAGGAGGUUUCAGUGAGCCGAGAUCGUGCCACUGCACUCAGGCUGGGCAACAAGAGCAAAACUCCGUCUCAAAAAAAAAAAAAAAAAGAAAGAAAGAAAAAAAAAACCCCCGCAACUCCAGGUGGAUUGGCACUGACUACUGAGCACACCAUACAUGUGCAAAGGAAGAAAAAGGGCUGUGAUGAAGUGAGGCAAGCUGGGGCCUCAACUGGCUGCAUCUGGAAUUUCAACAGCAAGACAAGAAUGGACUAGACAGACCAGUGUUCUCACCCACUGUUUCCAUGAUCACUCUCACAACAGAAAAAUAAAAUUGACAAGAAAAAUUACUCAAGAAUAAGGCUGGGUAUGGUGGCUCGCGCCUGUAAUGCUGGCAUUCUGGGAGGCCGAGGCAGGAGGAUCACUUGAGGCCAGGGGUUUCAGACCAGCCCGGGCAACAAAGCAAAUCCCUGUCUCUACAAAAAAAUAAAUUUAAGUUAGCCAAGCGUGGUGGAGUGCAUCUGUAGUCUAAGAUACUUGGGAGGUCAACGCAGGAGGAUCACCUCAGGCCAGGAGUUCAAGACCAGCCUGGGCAACUCCAUCUCUACAAAAAAAAUUUAAAAAUCAGCUGUGCAUGGUAGCAGCACAUAUAGUCUCAGCUACCUGGGAAGCUGAGGCAGAAGGAUCUCUUGAACUCAGGAAUUCAAGACUACAGUAAGCUAUGAUUACACCGCUGCACUCCAAUCUAGAUGACGGAGCAAGACCCUUUCUCUAAAAAUAAAGUAAGACUAAACAAAUCAAAAGAAUAAAAUACACAGGGUUAAGAGUUAAACCCACAGAGUUAAGUAAGCCUUGGAGGACCACAAACCACUGCCGUAUCUAAGAAUGCUUCUCUCUGUGACCCCCAAGAACUUCUGGCUGCCUACCCCCCACCCUUGGGAGUGGUACCAUCUCCACUGAGAAUGCCUGGAUUAGCUAUUAAUCACUGUAGGCAGCCAUUUAAACACGACGCCCCUCAUGCAAUACCUUCUAACGUCGAGCUGGAUGCUGGACUACCAGCAGGCACACAAGUGUAAAGUGGCCCGGAGCCACCAUAGGGCUUCUGAACAGUCAGCACAUUUGGAGAAUCGACCUCGCUGGAGCUCAGGAACCUUGGUUUGGGA
ensembl:lncRNA ZNF217-AS1 ZNF217 antisense RNA 1